UCCGGCUGCCUCUGCUCUUUCUCGGCUGCAAACCUCAGUGACUCGGUGUCUGGCUGCUACGCAAACUGAGCCAGGUUUAGUAACAGUUUUUACGGAAUUUCCUAUCGUAGUCAUAGCGGAGGACUGACUUGUCCGCUGGGUUGAGAGCUGCGCCCCGUUCCUCUGACUCCAGCCGAGCUGCUCCGGGCUGCACUGCCCCACGGACUGGCUUCAAGGCUGAUCGCCUCCCUCACCCACGCAUCACCUGCCCCCGCCUACUGGCCAGGACGGUAGUCACUCCCCCAACGGCUUGUCCUUCACGCUUCUGGUGGCUCUUGCACUAAUUGCGGAGCACCAGCCACGGAGCAAGACACCAGCAUUGUCCGGGGAGCGAUAACAGGCUGUGUUUCCAUUAUCUCUGCCCACUGGCCCUGACAGAUACCGUGGUGGUUCCUGCCAGGAAAUCCCCUCUGCCUCAUGGAAAACCCAGAGGAGGAAGUGGAGUCGCGAGGACUGUUCAGGCCCCACCCCAAGAUGUUGGAGUGAAACCAGCCCAUCUUCUCGGGCUCGGAAGCCCACGGGCUCUGCACACGCUUGCAGGGACCCGGGAGCCUGCGACAAGACACACACACCACCGAGGCCCCGUGCGGUUGCCUCUGCACCGUGUUUUACCAGAUCUGAGCUGGUUUGGAGUCCAACUACCACUUGAUAAAGCCCGCAGAGGAAGAGCUGUUGCUACCUCCGUUUUGCAAACGAGCAAAUGAGGGCCAAGAGCUCUGCCAGAGAUCUAACAAGGUCAGCUUCGCUCCUGCACCCACAGUGGGCAUGAAUGUGAUCAAAGAUGGGCGGAGCUGCUCAGACGUCCCUGAGCAUCAGGAGAAACUCGCUGGCUCUGCUGGGCGAUGCCCUGGAGAGCCAGGGAGCUCCUUCCUCGACAUGCAUUUGUGAGCAAGUGCUGGACACUUUUUACCCACUUAUACUUGUCUCUUGUGGCUGCUGGAAUGAGUGACCGCAAACCUGGUGGCUCUGUCCUCACAGAUCUGGAGGCCAGGUGUCUGUGGGCAGGCGGGGCUGGUUCCCAACGGGAGGCUCCGGGGAGAGUCUCCUCCUCGCCUCUUGGGGUGCUGGUGGCUGUCUGCAUCCUCGGCACACCUGGCUUGUAGCAGCAACCCUUCCAUCCCUGGCCUUCCCCACUCUGUCCAGGAUCUGUUUCCCAGAGAAAACUUCACACAUAAAUUUGGGGGGACACAAAAUGCAGCCCGUAACGCUCAGUAUUUCCAAUAAAACGAAGAUCUUUAGACCCACCUUCAUAAACGAUUCCCAAACUACAGAACCGUUGAACUUCAGAAACGGGAGGAACAUCAACGUCCAUCCAGCCCAGGACCCGCGGGAUGGGGGCGGCUCUUCAGCUGUGCAGCAGCCGCUGUUCGGGUCUUCCUGCUCCGGGCUGAACGCCCCCCCUGCAGUGUCUUCCUGGUCACUCUUCUCUGGGCAGGUUCCAGUCCGUCUCUACCCUUCACCAAGAAGUGAGGCGCCCGGAAAUGAAAGCAAUGGCCGUGUCCAUGCUGUUCAUCCAUCCUAUGAAAUCAGCCCCGCCGCUGGGGUAACAGCAAUGCACAGGACGCAUGGAGUCCAGCGGUCCUGACACUCAUGUUCUGGCGGGGGCAGGGCGGGGGGAGGAAUGGUGGAUGCAGAGGAACAAGCAAGGGACAGAGCAGAGCCAUGCUCCCUGGAGUGGAAGCACGACCAGCAAUAGUGAGGCAGACACACUGGGCUGAGAUCCAAUGACAAGGAUAGCAGCUCAGGCAAGGUCCCUAAGGUAGCAGAGCCCCCCUCCUGCGCACCCCCUUCCCAAAGGCCCCACCGGCUCCUUUCUCUCUCCAGACCUCAGGUGCCUCUGAAGCAGGGCCAGCCCAGGGGCAGCUCAGCCAGUGCAGGGCCACCCAAGGUCAUCGCCCUGGGAAGGAGGCUCGUCCUUAAAGACAGAGAUUCCAGAAUUUCAGUGGCUUUGAGGAGAGAGGAUUAUGUAGCAGUUUAGGCAGCCCACACUUCUCUGGACAAGCACGGGGUCCGGGUGUUUGGUGCCCUCUCCAAAGGUAUGAGGCUGCUUCUAACCAGGACGAACCACGAGCCCAAAGAUGGGCACAGAGGGUGCCUAAAAGGCAGGCUCUGCAGCCCUGGCUCCAGUGAACCCCGAACUCUCCCCGGGCCUGAAAUGCCCACUACCCACUUGAUCUUUGAAGCCCUGGACACUGAGAGACCCGGCUGAAACGUCAUGUCCAGCUGCCUCUGCCCCCGGCAGGGCGAGUCCCCAUCCCAGGGGGUACCAGCUCUCCAGUGGGCACCCCCUCUCCAACAGCAAUCGUCUGUGCCCACGUUGGUCCCCCAUACAGGGAGCUUUCAAAGUGGAGGCUUUCUUGCAUCACCAGCGCCUAACACUGUGUCAGGAAAUAAUGGUGAAGGAAGAAAAGAGGGAAGGAGGGGAAGAUGCAAGGACAAAGGAGUCCCUGAGCUCCAGCAGGAGCCCGGCUCUCGGGACCCUACUGGUUCUGUGGCUCUGUUUCUCUGGAGAACCCGAAUACAGAACAGCUGGGAUGUUAUGAUCAUAUGCGGACUGUCUUCAUGGUUCUUAGAAGCCGGAGCAUAAGGCACUCGGGGUGUCGGCUCCUGUUUGCAGGACAACAGCGAACAGGUCAGCUCCGCUCUGCAUCCACCCUGGCGAUGAAAUGCGACUGUUCAUCUCUGUCAGGUUAUCGUUCGAUGUUUAGGUGAACUGACAGCAACUCAAACAAUUUCCAAGCCACAGUCAAACUAAAAACUGAAAUAUCAAACUAAACAAAACUUCAGAGAAAUAUUAAACAACGACUAAGAACAUCUUAUCCAAUGUGAAUCCCUGUAAUCCUGUGAAGUGUCUUUAGAAAUAAUUUUUUGGCAAAUUGGGAAAUACCAGCAAGCAGACCACUUGCAGAACUAGUCUCAGCAAAUGGAUUUUCAGAGGUGGCUUUCGGAGCCGCCGGUUUCCUGAUGUGACCUCGAGCCGCCUUGGCUCCUGGGAGGCUUCUAGCUCGCUCUCCUUAUCCUCUCGGGGUCUAGAUGGGGCAGGGAAGCUUCAGGACUAGGGGCUGGGUAACCUGGGCCACACCCCCCACCACCACCAAGGUCAUCCAGGCCACCUGGAGCCAAUGUGAAGCUCUUUUCCUGUCCCCUGCAGUGUCCGGUGUAAAGAGAAAGUCACUAAAACACAGGCCGGCAGAUUUAAGAAGAUGGUGAAGCCCUGGUCCCCACCAGACCCCUCCCCAGGGCUCCUUCCUCCAAGGGUGGGCCCACCGGGACGCCCCCUGGAAAGCAGCUAUGCAGGUGGAGCCCUGGCGGUCCAUCCAGGUCCUUCUCUCAUCCGAGGCCUGAACUCGGCAGGGAUGAGCCUCAGGGGUCCCACCUCUCACCCCAGCCUGACCCCCACCUCCCUGGACUGCUGGUGGCUUUACCUCUCUCCUUCCCUCUAGCCUGGAACACUUCCUCCUGGACCGGCCUGGCAUUUAGGAACCUCUCAUUUAGAAACUAACUUCUAUGACCUGCGUCCCUAAGAGGAUGGGGACUUUCUUGGGGGCGGGGGGACCACCCGGGGAAACCACCCCCAUCCAGGAUGGGUGCCUGCUGCUGCCACCGUCCCCUCCUCUGAUUGUGCCCCACUUCUUGUCUCCCGUCUUAUCUCCUCCAGAUGCUCCAGCCCCUCUCCCCCCGGAACCCUCAGGGACAGGAGCCUCCUGCCUUUCUUCUCUGUCUCCCCACCCUCCAACCCAGGCCCAAGGAAAGGACUUCGACCAGACCCUGAGUCAGGGCUAGGAUGGACGGGGCAGCCCUCUGUGAGGGCACGGGAGGCUGAGUGACCCACUGAAAAUGUCCCCAAAUGGAACAACUUCAUCGAUACCAUAGCUGCACCUGGGUAGCGUGAUACCGCUCCCACUGCACUGGGACAGAGCUGUCACUCACCCGCCCACGUACCGGAAUGAGGGGGAUGGUAAAGGACCGGGCAGGUAUUUUGCAAUAACUCCUCAGGUAAGCGGGCUCUGCCUCUCCCCACCCUGCGCUGAGAACCUUUGCCUUGGCUCUGGCUAGGAUAAUUUUCGUUGCUGUUUUUUUUUUUGGUUUGUGUUUUGUUUUCUUUUUUUCUUUUAGCCGUGCUGCACGGCUUGAAGGAUCUUAGUUCCCCGACCAAGUAUCAAACCCACACCCUGGGCAAUGAAAGCGCAGAGUCCUAACCACUGGCCUGCCAGGGAAUUCCCCGGCUAAGAUAGUUUUUUAAAAACACACAGCAACAGCACAGAAACCCAAGUUCAAAUGGCACGUCAGCUUGACAUGGGGGGCAGUGCUGCAGGCAGACCCUCGUCUCCCAUCUCCAUGUUCUGGACUCCCCCCACUCCUCCAUGGGCGCUCCCCAGCCUGGGAGCCACUUCAGAGCCCCCCACCACAGAAAGGCCCUGAGAGGCUGCAGCCAAGGGGUCUGAGGGGGCCCCUUCCUCCCUGAGCCGUGUCCUCCUCAGAUCUGAUUGGGAAACGCCCCCCCAAGUGCAGCCCCCUGCCCUUUACCCAUCACAGCACCUCUCGUCCUUCCCGUUCCCACCUGUCCUGCCCUCCUUCAGGUGGGGCAGGGCCGGUCCUCCGGGGCCACCACCUUCACUGUAGAAGAUCCCAUGUCUCAAAGGCAGGACAAGCACACGCGUGCGUGCAUGCACUCACACAUGCACGCAUGCACACACGCAUCUUUUUCUUUCAGCUCGAGCCUGAAGAACAGUUGGCUACAUGCAAAGGAUGAUAAACUUCGUUUGUGGUGCAGGGGCAGUAGAGAUGGUGGGUGAUCGGGCUGCCCUCCCAGGAGCCCUGCUGGGCCCGCACCCUGAACACAGGGCUCCCACCGAGGCCACAAAGCAGGUGGUUGAUCACUGCCUUUGGACCCAGGAAGCUGUGGGUACGGGGCUGGCUCCCCACAAGCCUGGGGCAGGGAAAUUGCUCUUUCCUGCUCUGGAGCCUCGUAGCAGCUUUAACUGGUCGACAGUGAGGAAGAGCUCUGUACACGAUACAACACGGCCCCUGAUGAAGCAACUGAGGCUCAGAGAAGUCACAAAACAGGUUCAUGGAAGAGCCGGGAAUUUGCAUCUGGGUUUGCCUGACUGCAGAGCCCAACCUCUUCUGUCCCGCAUCACGCAUCACGGCACAGCUCAGCUUCUGAUAACCGACCUUCACAUGCCAGCCGCUGAGGACAGCUAGGCCCUGCCCCUGCAGCCUUUGGAGCCCUGGUGAGAGCUGGCAGCCAGGCUCGACCACUCCAUCAACACCUGACUGCAUGAACUGUGGCAAAGCACGGGCACAGCUCUGCUCGGGGACCUGGCUUUGCUGUGGCAGAAGGGCGGGGGCUGUGGAUUGAUGAUGUGCCGGAGCCAAGCUGGACCUCGAGAGCCUGCAGUGACCAGACACUCUCCCUUCCUCCAGGGAGACCGGGGCUGGAGAGAGAUUCCCUCUGCAGCUGCAAAUGCCCUCGGGUCCAUUCCCCAAGGACAGCCAUCCUGGGCAGCACCAAGACGACCUGCCUUGGAGCCAGGAGAUCCUACUGCGAGGCCCAUUUUUGUCCCUCUCUAAGCAGUAGUACAGACCUGGGUAACUGCUCACACUUGAUGGGUUACCGUGUCUGGAAAAUGAGGGUGUUGCACUGGAUGGUAGCUUUCAGAAUUUCAUUAGCGGUUGAGCCACGUUGCAAAUGAAAUCUUAUUCGUAUGACAGAUAAUCGUUAAUAUUCAUUGGGCUCUUACUGUUCCAGCUACCCUCCUGAACCUUCCAUGCAUUGACGCACAGUGCCAUGGGCCACGCUGCGCCCAGUUUACAGGUGAGAACCAUGAACCAGAGAGCCGCAAUUUGCCCAACACAGAUGAAGCGGUUAAAAGCAGACUUUCCUGCUUGGUGGUGGGGAAAGGAAGGAAAUCGAGUUGCUCCGCUUCACCUUCUCCUGCUUCCUUGGCGUCUCUGGAAGGACCUCUGCAGAGUCCAAGGGUCUCCGAGACCAAGUUCAAGUCCACUGGAUGAAUGACCUCAAAGGGAGCUGGAACUGUGAUUUUCCAAGCCACUUUUGCUCCUUCUGAUGGCUUGUCCAGGUGCCCAGCUCACGCCCCAAGCCUCCUGCUUCCUCCACACCUCACGGGCUCACCAUUAGGUACACGCAUUCACACCUGAAGGCUUGAGCCUCGUGCGUGUCCUCGCGCACACGCGCGCAUGCACACGCAUCUUCCUGUAUUAAACACAAAGGUUUUCAUCACCAUCGUAAACUUCAAAGGCUUGGAACUUGGAACCAACACCUUUCCAGCCUCUUAGUGAGUCCCAGACCCCUCGGGGAAGAGCAGCUUGUUCUCCUCAAUGUAAUUAGCACCACCACCACCCAGCCCCCCACCCCCUGGCGAUGGGGACUUAGAGGAACUGACGGGCCUCCUUAACCACUUACCAAGUGCGUCUUGAUAUCAAAAGAUUUGUAGCACGGAGUUCUAGCUUCUCCGCAAUAUCAGUCCCUGUAAUAGUUUCAGUUUGUCAGUUUUUUGCAAAACAUCAGAUACAAGUUUGAAAGGCGGGCGGGUCAUACACGUGAGCCCUGGCCCCUCCAGCCUGCUCUCCUCUGGCCUCUGCCCCAAGGUCAGCCCGGAACCCCUUCCCCUGCCCACGGACAGGGCAGGCAGUGAGUGAAUGCAGGACGAGCUACUUGGGAAAAAUAACUGAGCCCUCAGGAAUCACAAAACAUCAUCCUUUUCCCAGGAAAGCAGAUUUUGACUUGUUCAACUACUUUUAUUGUGAGAUUUAGCACCGAUGUGCUUUGGUUUUGGGUGAUGGUUUAAUCCUGAAUUAAUCAAAGUGGCUCUCAGCAGUUAAACACAGGCCACUUUAUGUCCCUGUGUCGCCUUGGGCAUGAAAGCACAAUGAGGCCCCCAGAGACUGAGGGUGCAUGCAGGUGGAAGGAUUAAAGGCAGGGGGGGCCCCGGGGUGUACCCUGGGGGCUGACUUGAAGACCAGACGCCUGGAGAAAGCAGCAGGACCUGCCAGGAGGACCCACCAACCCAGGAAGACCCAGGAAACGCUCAGAACCAUCUAGGCCCUUGGCUGCCUCCGCACUUGGUGGACUUCAUUCCGCAGGUGAGGCCUCGAAUCAUAAACGCAAACCACCCAGCAGCGUAUGAUUCCUGAGUAGGAGGCACAAGGCAGUGCCUGUGUCCUGGAAGAUGACGUAUCUGGUUAUUUGUCAGACUUCAGUUCAACGAUGCACAGCUCCGAUCCCAGAUCAAUGGUCUCCUCCCUGAACUGAAACUGCAGCCCAGCCCGGGACAGGCCUGGAGGAAUCUUGAUGAUUCACACAAGACCAAGACUGAGCAAACGUCAUUCUCAGAGCUGGCUCAGGCUCUGAGGCUGGAACGGCCUUCGGUGGGAGGUGAGAACGGGCCAGAACCCCUGGUUCCCACACAAGGAGCCCCCUCAUCCCCCCAGCUGAGAAGACCCUCUCCUGGCAACAAGUGUGACUAAGAAAGUAUUGCUUUUCUCGUGGUCAGUGUAAGUCGGAAAGUAGAGCAAAGCGUCACCAUCCCCUCCCGGCCUUGAAAAGUAAGAAGCAGUAGAGGAGCUGGUCAAGAAUACGUGCGCGGUACAGAGGCCACCGCUGUUCCCAGGUGGACGUCCAGUUGUUCCAGCACCAUUUGUUGAAGAGACCGUCUUUGCUCCAUUGUCAAAGCUCAGGUGACUCUUUUGAUAGGGGUCCCUCUCUAGGUUCCCUAUUCUGUUACACUGAUCUACUUGUCUGCUCUCCAGCCAGCACCACACUGUCUGGAUCACUGCCACUUGACAGUAAGUUUCGAAGUCGGGCAGCAUCCGGCCUCGUUCCUCUCCUUCAGUCCUUCGUUGGCUCCUCUGGGUCUCACCACUUUGGAUCUGCAUGGAUUCCCACAGGCAAAGGCACCUCUUCUCACUCCAUGGCUGGUCCUUCCCCGGGCUUCCUGGGAGUCGAGCUUGGAGCGUGUGUGCCUGAUGGGUAUCCCACUUCACCUUCUCGAGAACCUCCUCUUAAAAACACCCCUUUCUUCAGCUCUGUCCAUUCCCAUUCCCGAAACCAGAAGCUCAGACUUUCAGACAUGGCCUUGCUAAAAUGUGCAGGGGUUCCCAUGCAUUGGAGGAUAAACGUGAAUUCCUCUCGCCUCUGACAAAUCUCGCUUGUCUUCCUUUCUUCAUCUCCUGCUUUCUCCCCUUCACCCUGGGCUGCAGCUGCACCAGCCUCUUUUCUGUCCCUUGGCCACACUGAGCCUCUCCCACCUUUGGACCUGGAACCUGUUGGCCUCCGCCUGGAAGGCCCCUUCUCCCCCUCAGGUCACCCUUGUGUGCCACUUCUGCAGAGAAGACUUCCAAAACCAUCGCUGCAGAAGUAACCUCCCCACCUGCUGUCCAUCACCACCCUUUAUUUUCUUGAUAGCAUUUAUUGAAAGUAUCUCAUUAUCUUGCUUGUUUCUGUUAGUUUCCUCGCUAACUAGCUGUGUUGUGGUUGGAAUACAUAUGAGCCUCUGGAGGAUCUGGGGACAGCCUGCUUCUAUCUGAAAAAAAAAUAUUUUUCUUUUCUCCUCCUCUGAAAACCCUCUUGGGAACCCUAAGGUUUUCAGACUUUGGAAACCAAAGAAAAGGAAAGGGAGUUCUUUUCAGGCAAAGACAACGUCUGUUCUUCCUCCUGCCAAAACCCUCAGCUGCAGGCAGGAAAGAGCUCAGAGCCAGUGGUUUUACUGAGUGGAGGGUGUGAAGACUGGAGGGGUGGGAUUCCGGUAGGCAAACCCAGAACUCAUCUCUCUAGAGGCUGUCUACCAGCCUCUCUGGAGGUGUCCCCACUAGUCCCGGGGGCUCUGGGCGGUGGGGAGGAGAGCCCGGCCUUUCCCAGAGCUGCUGGCGUCAGUGCAGCUAGCCGGCCGGCCCAUUGCCUGGGCCUGGACUCCUGUUUCAAUAGGACCCGGACUUCAGGCAACCGCAGGGCGGGUAGCGUGCACGGUGAGGGACACCCCGGCUCCUCCUUCAGCGCCAGCAAGUCAAGCCGGGGCCAGA